rnacentral:lncRNA from 1 species
GGCGCCAAGGUCCUCUAUCCCUGUGGGGUGCACGGGGUGCAUGACUGUGGGCCCAAGAGCUCUUGAAAUAAAAAUCCUCUUGCUGUAUGCAUCAAGACUGUUUCUCGUAAGUGAUUUGGGGUGUCACCUCUCCUGAGUAAGAACGUGGGGGAGUCCUCACGUUGUGGGUCUUUCAUUUGGUGCGUUGGCCAGGAAAAACGUGACCACCCCUCACAACCGAGAACCUACUUGGAGAAAUCGAAAGUGAAGGCUUCUCCUGAAUUGGAGCCUCCAACUGAUUGUCAGCAGCUGCUGCAUACACUCUUCACAACCAAGGAGCGAGAGAGAAUUCUGUUAAAGGCUAGAAAAAAUAUCCUGGGAGCUAACGGGCAGCCUACACAGCUACAAAAUGAGAUCAACAUGAGAUUCCCUUUGACUCAUCCUGGUUGAGACUACAACAUGGCUAAAGGCUCAAGGUGCUCGAGUGGGUGAGACAGUGAGCGUGGAAAGAGCUCCAGAAGGCCUAUUCAAGAGAAGAAGACCUGCAAGCCCCACAUCUCUCCCAAGUUAGAGAGUCCGUCUACAUUAGAUGCUACCACGUAGAAAACCUUGAGACUUGGUGGAAAGGCCCUUAUCUUGUACUCUUGACCACCCUACUAUCUACCCUUAUGGGACCAUUUUUUAUUUUGCUUCUGCUUUUAAGUAUAGGUCCAUGUGUGUUAAAUAGGCUAGUCGCCUUUAUUAGAGCAAGAUUUAGUACAGUGCAGCUUUUAGUUUUGUGACACCCUAAAGGAUGGCUUUUCAUCAGACAGCAGGUCAGCACUGUACAGGUCCUUAUGCUACACCAACAAUAUCAAAAAGUAGAAAAGGCUAAUACGGGCUGUGCUGAGUCAGAGGUUUAAGUUUUCUAGUUCUAUGAUUAGAACUAUUUAGUAGAAGGAGUGGGGAAUGUAAGACCCCAAAUCAAUAUGUUUCUCAGACCCCUAGAAGCAAACCCAGCAUGAAGUUCUUUGUUCUCCCACCUUCAGCCUGAGAAGCCGAAGACUACUGGGUGACGCACCCAGGCGCCUGAAUCAUUGUGUAAGGGACCAAGAAUGUUUACUCAGCUUCCCCUUUCUUUGUGGCUUUUUCCCUUAAAUACCCCCUCUCCCAGCUACUCGGGGGCGCCAAGAUCCUCUAUCCCUGUGGGGUGCACAGUGUGAAUGACUGUGGGCCCAAGAGCUCUUGAAAUAAAAUCUUCUUGCUGUUUGCAUC